CCGGAUCGUGCGGGGGGCCUGAGCCUCUCCGCCGGCGCAGGCUCCGGUCGCGCUAGCUCGCCCCAGCGGACAUGUCUGCCACCAUCGAGCGGGAGUUUGAGGAGUUGGAUGCUCAAAAUCGUUGGCAGCAGCUGUACUUGGAAAUUCGCAAUGAGUCCCGUGACUAUCCUCAUAGAGUGGCCAAGUUUCCAGAAAAUAGAAAUCGAAACAGAUACAGAGAUGUAAGCCCAUAUGAUCACAGUCGUGUUACACUGCAAAAUACUGAAAAUGAUUAUAUUAAUGCCAGCUUAGUUGACAUAGAAGAAGCGCAAAGGAGUUACAUCUUAACACAGGGUCCACUUCCUAAUACAGGUUGUCAUUUCUGGCUCAUGGUUUGGCAGCAAAAGACGAAAGCUGUUGUUAUGCUAAACCGGGUUGUAGAGAAAGAAUCGGUUAAAUGUGCACAGUACUGGCCAACAAAGGAAGACCAGGAGAUGCUGUUUAAAGAAACAGGAUUCAGUGUGAAGUUCUUGUCAGAAGAUGUGAAGUCAUAUUAUACAGUACAUCUACUGCAAUUAGAAAAUAUCAAUAGUGGUGAAACCAGAACAAUAUCUCACUUUCAUUAUACUACCUGGCCAGAUUUUGGAGUCCCUGAAUCACCAGCUUCAUUCCUCAAUUUUUUAUUUAAAGUGAGAGAAUCUGGUUCCUUGAAUCCUGAACAUGGGCCUGCAGUGAUCCACUGUAGUGCAGGCAUUGGGCGGUCAGGCACCUUUUCUCUGGUAGAUACCUGUCUUGUUCUGAUGGAAAAAGGAGAUGAUAUUAACAUUAAACAACUGUUACUGAAUAUGAGAAAAUAUCGAAUGGGGCUUAUUCAGACACCAGAUCAACUCAGAUUUUCAUAUAUGACUAUAAUAGAAGGAGCAAAAUUUAUAAAGGGAGAUUCAAAUAUACAGGGAGAUGGAUGGUUGUCUUACCAGUCCUACAACGACGAAAUUAAAGAAGAAGCUGCAUUGAAAGACUUGAGAGACAGUGGUCAAUGUGGCAAGAAACGGUGGAAAGAACUUUCUAAAGAAGACUUAUGUCCUGCUUUUGAUCAUUCACCAACCAAGAUAAUGACUGAAAAAUACAAUGGGAACAGGAUAGGGCUAGAAGAAGAAAAACUGACAGGUGACAGAUAUACAGGACUAUCCUCCAAAAUGCAAGAUACUAUGGAAGAGAACAGUGAGAGCAUUCUACGGAAACGAAUUCGAGAAGACAGAAAAGCUAACACAGCUCAGAAGGUGCAGCAGAUGAAACAGAGGCUAAAUGAGACUGAACGAAAAAGAAAAAGCAUCAAUUCAAAGUGAUGGUUGCUACCAUUUAUUGAUCGUUUACUGUGUGCCAAGCACUGUACUAAGCACUUUUCAUAUGUUAUAUUAUCCUAUUUAAUCCUCACAACAAGCUUUUGAGGCCAAGAUUGACAGACACCUAAAUAUUCAUGACUUGAGAAUAUUCUGCAGCUAUAAAUUUUGAACCAUUGAUGUGCAAAGCAAGACCUGAAGCCCACUCCGGAAACUAAUGUGAGGCUUGAUAAACCUAUAGAUUGCCUCACAUUUGUCUGUUUACAAAGUAAACUUUACAUCCAGGGAAAGAAGAGCACCACCAGCAGAAGACUUUGCAGAACCCUCUAAUUUGAUGUAUUGUUAAGUUUUUUAAUGCGUGUAUGAAAUGUGGAAAGAUGUAAAAGAAAUAAAUUAGGAGAGACUACUUUGUAUUGUACUGCCAUUCCUACUGU